UACGAACCAGAGGCAAGCAGAGAGCAUGCGUCUCCACGUGUUCUCCUCACAGACGCACGCCGACGCACAAGCACACCCCCUCCCCCUUUUAGCUCUUGGAGAAGAAGUCACAUGAACCACCGGAAUUAUCGUCAUCCCCGGUACACAAGCGCAUAGACAUCCUCCCCCCUCCCCUCUCUCACCCCCCAAAUCUUGACCCACACGUACAAACAUAGAUGGCGCGCAGAGGGGGUCUGACUGGGACGGCAGCGACGACGAAUGCUUCUGCCAUCCGUUCGCCGCUUCUCUUCUCCACCCCCACCCCUGUGCUGCUGCCGACUCUUCGCGUCUGCUGACAGGUCUGAGCUGGCGCCGUGCCGGGGAGACCUGCGGUUAUGACCACGCCCUGGGCAGGCCGCCUAAGAAUCCUGCCCGCGAUUCAACAUAUAUGCGCAUCCACCUGCUUUUUUUUCAGCUUCACCUGCGUUUCGCCG
rnacentral:misc_RNA from 1 species